rnacentral:rRNA from 1 species
AUGAGAAUGAGAUGUCUACUGUGCCAGGCCAUCACUUAUUUAUAUGAUACAGAGCGGGAUGCCUUUAUAAUUAAUGGGAGACCAUGUAGGAUCACACUAAAAGAUGCGGAGCAUAUAACAGGUCUGCCUUGCAUGGGGAAGAAUCAUGUCCCUUCAAAUCACAACAAUACUUUGGAGUUGUGGAAGGAACUGAAAGACCCUAAUGACACAAAAGUAACUUUGAAAGGAUUGCUAGCCAAGAUGAAAGGCGACAGCACACCUAAUUUUGUCAGGCCAUUUGUCUUGUACACCAUAGGCAAAUAUGUAUGCCCGACAACACAACAGUAUGUGGACAAUAGAUACCUUGGGAUUGUUAGAAACGUUGAGACAAUAAAGAGCACCAAUUUUGGAUAG